CUCACGCACACGUACACAGAAACACGGUUACUGUAAUAUAAACGACUUCUCGAAGAAUGCAAUCUAGAAGACUCUGUGCAUUGCUGCUUAAUAUUUUUAAGCAGAGUACGACUAUCACCAUACGAAGGCGUUCCAUCACCGGACGGACGGACGGACGGAAGACGUGGAACACUGUCAAGGACGUCAACGACGGCUGUAAAAGUGAAAUAAAACCUUCGUGUUUUUGCGGCUUCUGAUUAUUUAUAACGCCGACGUAGCAAUACCACAUCACGCCACACACACAGCGCAAAAAUCCAUUCUUAGAGAGCGCACCACGCCGUUAACAUAGCAAUCAGAGAACAAGGAACCACAGGAUGAACGAAGAAGAAUGAAAUACUCGUCAGGUCAGAAGAAAUCGCAUUGGACACGGUUGUGUAUCAUGUGGGAAUAAGCUGCAUGGGCCGUACUGCCACAAGGUGUACAGUAGGCGCCAAUAAUUUUGUAUUCAUCAAACGGUGGCGACAGGAUGCGACGCUUGGCACGUCACACCUAGCGCAUAAGACGCUACGCAUAUACCGCUCGAUGACAAUGAACGGGCGCGCCUCCCGUAUCGCCUUGCGCCGGGAAUGGGUGACGCGACGCGCCACACCUACGAGCCAACGUCCGGCCGAUAAUGACGAAAAACCGGACGAAUUGAAAAUGUCGCCGGCCGGUUUUCGGAAACGUAUAAAUAGGCACGGACGAAAGAUCAUAAGUUAGUUAUUAUCCAGAGGAAGAGACGA